GCCAGGAAUGGUGGUGCAUGCCUGUAAUUCCAGUUACUUGGGAGGCUGAGGUAGGAGGAUCACUUGAGCCUGGGAGGUCGAGGCUGCAGUGAGCUCUGAUUGCGCCACUGCACUCUAGCCUGGGCAACAGAAUGAGACCCUAUCUCAA
rnacentral:SRP_RNA from 1 species